rnacentral:rRNA from 1 species
GAUGAACGCUAGCGGCAGGCCUAAUACAUGCAAGUCGAACGGUGUCUUCGGACAUAGUGGCGCACGGGUGCGUAACACGUAUGCAACCUACCUUACAUUGGGGGAUAGCCUUUCGAAAGGGAGAUUAAUACCGCAUAAGACAGUAGCUGGGCAUCCAGCAGCUGUUAAAGAUUUAUCGAUGUAAGCUGGGCAUGCGUCCAAUUAGCUAGUUGGUGAGGUAACGGCUCACCAAGGCAAUGAUUGGUAGGGGAACUGAGAGGUCAAUCCCCCACACUGGCACUGAGAUACGGGCCAGACUCCUACGGGAGGCAGCAGUAGGGAAUAUUGGGCAAUGGACGCAAGUCUGACCCAGCCAUGCCGCGUGCAGGAUGAAGGCGUUAUGCGUUGUAAACUGCUUUUGUACGGAACGAAACGGUGAGCUCUAAUACAGUUUGCUAAUGACGGUACCGUAAGAAUAAGCACCGGCUAACUACGUGCCAGCCGCCGCUGUAACAC